rnacentral:lncRNA from 1 species
CUGAGUCAAAGCAAGCCAGGGAAUUAAUGCAAAAAGGCUCAAGCUUCUGUGCCCCUGGGAAAUGGCAGAGGAAGACAGCUUCAGCCUCAGAGCACACAGCACUGAGUUGUAAGAAACAGGUCUCAUCAUCCCCUUGGCCAGCAGAUUUUCACCCUGGGCCCACUAAGAAGCCUGCCAGGGGGUCCUCUGUUGUCUGGACCCUGAGGCUUCAUCCUCAAUGUGUUGGAGCCUAGGAGAGAGGAUUAGAGUUAUGCGGUAGGUGUGGGAGUUGUGUUUGAUGGGCUAGGAGUUGGGUGAGGAGGGAUCCUCAGUUUUGGGUAAAGGCAAAAAGGCAAGGAAGCCAGGAAAAAGCAAGGAGUUGGAAUAAAGACAGAGUGUGGGAGAAAGAGAGUGAGCUGGGUACAGGGGUGGGAGCAGAUGUAGAAGGAGGAGGACAGAGAAUCUGACUCAGGAUUGAGACAGCCCGUGGGAAGUGGAUCCCUAGCGUAGGAACAGGAGAGAGCCAGAGAGGAGAGGUAAGAGGGGGCAAGAUUCGGGGGUUAAGUAGAGGCAAGCCGGCAGGCAAGCACUGCAUGGCUAGUUGAGAAUGGAAAGGGGACGUGGUGAUCUAGGAAGUUUCUGUUUAAAGGCAGAGAGUGUAUGGUCAGGCAGGGGCUGUAUCUAUUUUCUUGUUUGUUUAUUCUGUUGUUUGUUUGUUUGUUUGUUUUGAGACAGAGUUUCCCAACGGUGCAGUCUCUACUCACCGCAACCUCUGCCUCCCGGGUUCAAGCAAUUCUCCUGCCUCAUUCUCUUGGGUAGCUGGGAUUACAAGCAUGCGCCACCACUCCCAGCUAAUUUUGUAUUUUUAGUAGAGAUGGGGUUUCUCCAUGUUGGUCAGGCUGGUCUCGAACUCCUGACCUCAGGUGAUCCGCCCAGCUCAGCUUCCCAAAGUCCUGGGAUUCCAGGCAUAAGCCACUGCGCCUGGCCUGUUUCUAUUUUCUUUUGCCAGGCAGGUUAUGUUAUACUGGGGUUUCUUGCUGAGGUCUGUCCUGGGACUGUCUGAGGUGUCACAAAGAGCCCACAGGUACAGACGAGAAAUUUGAAAGUGAAUCCAGACGCAGCAGAUGACAGCAAGAUGGGACUCCAAGUUCUCUUUCUAGAAAUUACAAGCUGCUCCGCUACCCACACAUGUAGCUCAUUCUCCCUGUGGCCAAGACACUCCUGUGCCUGAGGGAAAGGCAAUGCCUGCGGCAGAAACGGAGCGGUCCCCCAGCCAGGGGAGAGAGUGGCACCUAGUAUGGUACCCAAUGCUCUAAGGCAUGGAGCUGAUUGACUGCUGACUGUAGACCAGCCACUCACCACAGUGUAGGUUGGAAGCCUUCUAAGGCCGUGCGUUCUGCAGAGUCAGCCCAUGAUGGGGCCAGGAGUGUGGGCUCCAGUGUCACCCCCUUGGGAUUUAAUCCUGGCUGCACCUCUGGGGGCCUUGGGAGAGUAUAAGGGAAAGAAAUAGUCCCUUCCUUUCUUUGGAGAGAAGGAAUCCACAAGCUGGAAGGAGGGACCCUGGCACGAAGAAAGGCACAGGCCCCUCCAUAACUUGUUUCUACCACUCCCCUUUGAGGGCCCCUGGGGAAGGUUGGUUAGUCUUGAAUCUGUGCCCAGGAGAAACCAAAAAUCCUUAGUGGGGUUUCUCCCUGUCCUAGGCCUCCUGUCAGAGCUAGCGGAGAUCUGCUGGAAGGAGGCCGGGAGGAGGGGAUGUACGGAUGCCAUCAUGCCUGGAUGGAGGACCAGAAGGUCUUUAUAACAAGUAUUUGUGGAGCUCCUAAUAUGUGCCAAACUGUGGUAGACCUGGAUACCCAGAAACACGGCCACUCCCCUAAAGGAGGUUGCAGGCUAUACCAAUUAAAAUAAUUAUCUCAGUCCCUUCUUAUCAACAGAGUCGUCCAUGGAGACUAUUUCUCCCCCUGCCCCAGGCACACAGAAGCCUUGAGGCUUUCAUUGUGGCCCCACGGUGACAGCACACCCAGGUGGCACUCUCAGCUUAUCACUGAUUUGCAGAGCUGCUGUCUUGCAGCUAAAAGCAAUGUGCUGGUGGAUUUUUAAAAAGAAGUUCUGAGAGGCUUCUUAGAAGGUCUUUCUCCACAUCACUAACUAUUCGGAUUCCGGAGCACGGUGCCAAGCCCCUCCAUUUACUGCAGCCUUGCCCUUCCUCUCAAGAUCCAGCCGCUAAUGCUAUGGGAUGGCUGGUGGCCCCACUUGGGCUCCCCCAACCCCCACCUCGACCCCUAGCUUCCGCCUGUUUGGAGCUGUUAUCAGAGGAAACAGACUUGAACAUGACGGAGUUGCUGUCUCUUGGGCCUGACCAGAGAGUUGUGUUUUCUUGGCCUAUAUCACCUCAGAUUUAUCCUCGGCCUGACCGCAGUCAUUAUCAGCUAAAUUCACCAUCUCUAGAUGCCCAGAAGAUUUCAAAAGUGGACUAUAGGCUGCCAGUUGGUGUUAGAGUUCAGAGAAUCCCUGGACUUCAGCACUAGAAAGGAGCAGCUGCUAUGUCGGGGGUGUCAGGGGCUGGAUGCAGGGGCUGUUGCACUGAUCCCAGCUUGCUCCAUUCACAAGCCCCUCAUCCAUCUCUGAAGACUGGGACCAAAGCCAGGGCUGGGGCAGGCCUCUCUGGGCACAGGGGCCUGUUAGCAUUGGUUUCAUUCCUUCACCAAGAGGCCUAAAGACAUUGGAAUGAUGAGGCAAUUAAUGUGAAACAGAAACAAGUGGCUUUAGUUCCAGGCAUUUGAAACUGAAAGGAAGCUGUUGACAUUCUUUGAGACCCACUCUAGGCUAUGAUUUUUGCUGUGCUAGCCAGAACUCUGCUACUUACUUGAAGUAGGACCUUGGGAAAGUCCCUUCUCUAGGUCUCAAUUUCCUCAUAUGUAAAAGUGCAUCUGGGAUUAGUCAAGACCCUUCCAAGCCUGACAUGCUAUGGUCUAAGUGUCCCAGUAAUCUCUCUGUCACCCAGGGAUCAAAGAUUUACAGAUGUGUAGGAGAGAUGGGGAGGAACACACUAAGAUAUGUCCUUGUGAGUUUAGUUAACUAAAAGACUGGGGGAAAGAAAGGGAAGUAAGAAAAUAAAGUGAAAAGGUGGAAGAAGGCAGAGUGUAAAAGAGGGAGAUAAGGAAAGUACAAAAGAUAGAGAUGUCUGCUGCAAUUUCUCAGUACUCUUCAGAUACAUCCUGGCCAGGUUUACUUUCUUAGGGGCAGGGUAGAUUGUGAGGGUGUGGAAAAUGGUAUUUUUUCAAAGAGAGUCACAAUAGUAUUGCCAUCUCACAUGCUGUUAUACAAUGUGAUCUUGCCAUUUCUCUACCAAGAUAAAUGCAGUCUAGUUUCUCUCCCUUUAAAUCUGAGCUGGCCGUAAGACUUGCAUGAACAAUAAAAUGUGGUGGAAGUUAUUCCAAGUGACUUCUGAGGCUUGGUCAGAAGCAGCUUUCCCUUAGUUACUUUGAGACAUUUGUUCUGAGGGAAGCCAAUCUGACUACCUGAGGCCAUUGUGCUGGAGAAGCCACACAUUGGCAUUCCUGUUGACAAUCCUAGCUGAACCCUGCCUUCUAAUCAUUUCCCUCAAGGCUUAUCAAAUAAGUGAAUGAAGCUAUCUUGGACUCUCCAGACCAGCCCAUGCUGCAGCUAAGUAUUACUGAUCAAUUUCACUUUAUACCACAGGGAGCGGAAGAAUCACCUAGCUGAGCCCUACCCAAAUUCCUGCUGUGUUUGUGCCUAGAUUUUUUUUAUAAAACAAAACACACUGGAACAGGAUGGCAGGAGAUUUUUUUGUUUUUGUUUUUUAAACGCUUGUUUCAAACAGCAAUGAAAAAUCCUUAAAAAUGUAUAAAUAAGACUUCAAGAUUUUAGAGGUGUGAAAUUUCAAAAGAAAUCUGGAGGCUGGGCGUGGUGGCUCACGCCUGUAAUCCCAGCACUUUGGGAGGCUGAGGCAGGUGGAUCACAAGGUCAGGAGAUCGAGACCAUCCUGGCUAACACAGUGAAACCCCGUCUCUACUAAAAAAUACAAAAAAUUAACUGGGCGUGGUGGCAGGCGCCUAUAGUCCCAGGUACUCAGGAGGCUGAGGCAGGAGAAUGGCAUGAACCUGGGAGGUGGAGCUUGCAGUGAGCCAAGAUCGUGCCACUGCACUCCAGCCUGGGUGACAGAGUAAGAUUCCGUCUCAAAAAAAAAAAAAAAAGAAAUCUGGAAGCCAACUUUCAAUUUGCCCAUUAAGGACUUUAGUACAAAACUACCAUCUUCUAUAGGUCAUUAUAUCGUUUUUGUUUUUGAGACAGAGUCUCACUCUGCCACACACAUUGCAGUGCAGUGGCGCAGUCUUGGUUCACUGCACCCUCCCUGUCCCAGGCUCAAAUCGUCCUCCCACCUCAGCCUUCCAAGUAGCCAGGAAUACAGGUAUGCACUACCAUGCCCAACUAAUUUUUAAUUUUUUUUUAGUAGAGAUGAGGUCUCAAUGAAGCAGUGUUGUUGCCUGGGGUAAAUACCCGGGUUCAUCAUCUCGAGCCAAGAAGAUUAAGGACAUGAACACACAUGAAGAUCAAGGGAGAAGCAGUGAUGUUUUAGUAUCCAGAAAGUGGAAAUAACCCAAAUGCCCAUCAACAGCAGAAUGAAAUUGUACUAUAUUCACACCAUGGAAUAUUGUAUAGCAAAGAGAAUGAAUGAACUAUUAACAGAAAAGACAUGGACAAAUCUCAUAAACAUGAUGCUGAAAGAAACCACAGUCAAAAAAGAAGAUGCUUCCCAACCUUUUGCAGACCAUGGCAUACGCAGAAAAUGACAACAUCGGAAUGGCACACUGGCAUACCAGUUGGGGAUCCUUGCAGUCAAUGCUGACUGGACUCAUCCUUCAGCCGCCCCCAAGAAGAGAGAGAUCAAUACCUUGGCACAUCUGUGGGAAAGCUCCCAUUAGAGAGUGUGGGGAAGACACAGGCCUCCACAACACAUUUCAGGUUCUCUAAACUGGCAAAGGGGAAGAGUCUGGGCUUCCUUUGCCCUUUUGUUCUCAAAGAGCCCAGCUGUGCACACCCCUCACCCCUGCACUAUAGCUCCCAUUUGGGUAGUGAAAAAUCACAGGACUCAGGGGAGUUAUGCAGCAUUCGGGAAUGGAGACCUGGAAAGCCACACACUCCUCCUUGCUUUCCUGUGAGCCUCUCUUCUUGCUGUCCCCUUUACAACCAACAGUCCCUGCAGGGGGAAGACACUCUGCUUUAGUCAGUUCCACCUCCCUUCCAGAUCUCAUCCUCCUUUCAGCCUAAUUUUCCUCACACUGUCAUGCUCCUUCCCACUGCUCGCCCCCCACCCCCUACUCUCCUCCAGCACAUCACACAUUGCGCCUGGGCACACUGAGCUUGUCUGCCAUCUAUGAAGAGGCCCAUGUCACCCAAGCCCUUCUCUUUCCCUGUCAUGCCAUAGCCUCUUCCAGGAGCGCUCAGCCUGCUGUUUCUGCUCAGACCUCCCCUCCUCUGCAAAGCCUCCUUCUGCGUGCUGCCCGAGAGCCAUCCCCCACUUGGGUUUGUGUUACUGCUGUGUAUGGCAGCAUCUUCACUGUGCCUGAUUUCCCGUCUUGGCCCAUCGUAGGUGCUCAACAAUUGUUUCUCAAAUGACCAGCGCCUGCAGAGGGACCCUGACAUGAACUCCACCCCACCCCGACUCUUGGCAGUUACUCACUGUCCCCUUGAGUCGGGAUCCCAGCCCCUCAGGGGACCUGUCUUGCAGCCAUUCCACGCUCUGUCACCCCACUGCCAGGAGACUAGAGCCACACUGCCUGGAUGACGCUCAUCUUUACCAGCUCGCAGCUCUGCCAGCUGCCUGCUCAGGGGUGGCCGCCAGCUGAGGGAUUGAGCUGAUUAUAGGUGAAUCAGCACCAGGCUGAUUGUGGUGUGAAAAAGGGGAAGGGUGACUGUGUCUUAGCCUCAAUCCUGGCUCCCCUCCUUCCAGCCCUGACCUGCAGUAACAGCACAGGGCCACCAGAGGCUCUAUUGGGCGACUCAUGCCCCGCGGAGAAAGGCCCAGUAGGAGAGCAUCUGACCCAGUUCCCAGCAGAUGAGAAAGGAAGAAGAGUUCAGGAGGCUUCUACUCUCAGAGGUCUCCAGCACUGAAACCCCGCAGCCGCACCUGGCUGCCUUAUCCUUGUGUUUUGCCCCUCAUGGGUCUAGAAGCUGUUGUGUUACACCUUAACAUCUUCCUCCUUGCUUGCCAUGAGCCCCUCUGCUUGCAGCCCCCUUUACAGAACAACAGUCAUGGUAGAGGGAAGAUGUCUCCACUUUUGUCAGUUCUGCCUCCUUUAGGAGAGUGUCAGGCCUAACCCAUGUGUGCUCUGUCUUUCAGGGCAUGGAAAAGACUAUUGUCCUGUUUCGUCUUUUCAACACCUCUUGACUCUCUCCCCCUGGUUUCCUAACAGCCAGCUAGGUUCAGGGCCUCCCAUCUCUGGCCAGGAUUAGUGCAAUGGCUUUCUGAAGGGUCCCAGGCUCCAGGGAGCCCCUUGCCCAUCAAGUCUCUACCCUGGAGCCAGACAGCCCUUACUUCCAUCAGACAUCAGCCUCCAGUGGCUCCGAAAGGCCAGGCAUCCACACAGCACCCCACGGCCCCAAGAACUGGCUGCUUGAUUUUCCUGCCCUGUGUCCCUCCUCUCCUUGGCCCUCUACCCAGCAAUCACCCCAAAACACUGUGAUGUUUCAAGCCUUUGUACUUUGCACACAUUCUUCUCCAUGGCCUAAUUCCCUCUCUCCACCCCUCACUCCACACCUCCUCCACCUUUACCCUUUCUCCCCAUUCUUUCUUCACCGGGCACAGCCCUACUUAUCCUUCAAAACUGCCACUUCCUCUGCGAAGCCUUUCCUGACCCGUGUCCCAGAAUCCCUCCUCUGAACAAAUCCUGUUCCCUAAACAUGCAUCUCUCAUUGUAUCUGUCACUCAAGGGUUGCAAUAAUUACACACACGCCUGUCCUUUGUCCUCCACUGGCUCUGUACCUCCAUGUGGGACCCAUGGCCAGCACACAUUGGUGGUGCCCGAAAGCUGUUGCACUGGAGUUGUUCCUUCUGCCCCAUCACCUCCCACCUUGAACAAGUCCUUUAGAUGACCUGAACUCCAGUUUGUUGAUCUGCAAAAUGGAGAGAUGUGAGAAUCAGAAGAGAACACGUAAUGAAAGGGUGUUAUAAACUGCUAAGGGCUGUACAAAUGUUUGUAUUGCAUUUUUGUCUUCCAGACUAGUGUUUACCUACACUUGCCUGUGUGGAAAUCAGAAGAUUAAAGGAAUGCGAUGUGAUCUUUUUGUAAUUUCCCCACUUGGGUCAAGGGAAAAGCUGGUCAAGAGUAAACCAUUAAUUCAUCCCCCUGCAGGCCCCCCAAUCUUCCCUAGAAUUCUGGGUUAAUGAUUCUGAGGUUGUUUUCCUCACAGAGCCAAUUCAUAUCUAAUCUUUGGCAUGUUCCCCCCUUUAUUAAGAAUAACUUGACUCACCCCAUUAAUUCCUCAUCCUGGGGUCACGAGCCUUGUUUUGCAGAAGGAAAUGGUGGCUGUGUGUAUGUCUUGGGCCUUCUUUCUUUCUCAAACCCCUUUCUUUCAUGGAUUCAUGCCUACAAUUCCCUCUGUGGACAGAAGAGACCUCUCCUUACCUGCAUAAUGAAAUGUGUGACUUUUCUCAAAAGUAGCUUUAGGAAUUAACUGUGGAGGUCCAAGUAGCAAGGAUGCUGUGACCUAACUCGUUACCCCCUCACGUGUGGUUUGGAAUCCCAGCAGAAAAAAUUUCCUGAAGAUCUGGUACGGAGAAACCAUUCUGGGCCUGGCUUUUAAAUGUUUUAUUAGCAGCUGGGCGAGGACUGGGCUGCAAAGAGAUGCAGCCCCCGUCAGAAGCGAUCCCUGUUGGGGAGCAAGGCCUGGAAUUCCAGGAGGGAGGUCUGUUUAUAGCUGAGGCAGAGGCUGGGGAGCGAAGCCUGGGAGCCAGACAUGGCUUAAGGGUGGUCUGGACACUCUUGAGAUAAGGCCAACUAAGGACUAUGAGCUCAUUGAAGUUCCAAAGCCAACUCACAGCAGCUCACCACCAGACAUGUCCCCUGCCCCCACAUUCCCUCCUCUCAAUCCAGGAAUUUUGGUGCUCAUCUCUAUAAAGUUUUAGACCAUGGUGGUAGGAACCUGGUAAGUCUCAGGUUCUUGCAUUGCCCGAUUCUCCUUGGAUUUGCUGGGUUUGCCUCCUUCCCAUGUCUCAGACAGGGCUUUGCAUAAAGAAGUGGGCUGGUAGAUCUGCAAAGGUCCCUCUGUGUGACUGGAGCAAGUUACCCUCUUGAGCCUCAGUGUCCUCUUCUGUAAAAUAGGGAUAUCAUUCUUUCUUUCCCAAGGCUUUUGGUAAUAAUGUCAUUCUCAUGUGAUUCUUAACAAAAUGGGCCUUUCAGACUUAGAUCACUUUUGUGCAUGCAUAAAAAUGAAAGCAUUGAGGAGAAGGAAUUGGUGAAUAUAUGUCUGGAGCAAUAACUUCAUCAGAACUGCCACGGUGGUUGUAGGACCAUUCUGAUUCCAGAGGUAUUAAAAUGCAAAACACAAUGUUGAAAUGCAAAACCCAACAAAAUAAUAAACAGCCUUGUACCUACCGCCUCCCUUAAGAACUAAAACAAUUCCCAACACCACUGAAAGACUGUGUUCACCUCCUUGAUCCAAUCUCUUGCCUUUCCACCCCAGAGAAAACCACUGUCCUGAAUUUUUUCCCACUCCCUUGGUUUUGUUUUACCAAACAUGUAUCCAAUAUGUAACAUAUUAUUUGUAUUUGAUCUUGUUUUUGAAUUGUCCUGUAGGUAGAAUUAUAUCUUAUUCUGCAAUUUGCUUUUUAAAGUUUUUGAAAGAGCAAAACUUAUCUAUGCUAAUACGCUAAUGUGUGUAGCUGCCAUUUAUUUGUCACUGCAUAUACCCCUCUCAAUUCUGUUGAUGGAAAUUUAGGCAGUUUCCAGUAUUAUUUUGCUACAAACAUUCUCAUGGCUGUCUCCUGCAACAUGUGUGUUUCUUGGGAGUAUAC